rnacentral:rRNA from 1 species
UCGAGCGGUAAGGCCCUUCGGGGUACACGAGCGGCGAACGGGUGAGUAACACGUGGGUGAUCUGCCUCGCACUCUGGGAUAAGCCUGGGAAACUGGGUCUAAUACCGGAUAUGACCUUACAUCGCAUGGUGUUUGGUGGAAAGAUUUAUCGGUGCGAGAUGGGCCCGCGGCCUAUCAGCUUGUUGGUGGGGUAAUGGCCUACCAAGGCGACGACGGGUAGCCGGCCUGAGAGGGCGACCGGCCACACUGGGACUGAGACACGGCCCAGACUCCUACGGGAGGCAGCAGUGGGGAAUAUUGCACAAUGGGCGAAAGCCUGAUGCAGCGACGCCGCGUGAGGGAUGACGGCCUUCGGGUUGUAAACCUCUUUCGACAGGGACGAAGCGCAAGUGACGGUACCUGUAGAAGAAGCACCGGCCAACUACGUGCCAGCAGCCGCGGUAAUACGUAGGGUGCGAGCGUUGUCCGGAAUUACUGGGCGUAAAGAGCUUGUAGGCGGCUUGUCGCGUCGAUCGUGAAAACUUGGGGCUCAACCCCAAGCUUGCGGUCGAUACGGGCAGGCUUGAGUACUUCAGGGGAGACUGGAAUUCCUGGUGUAGCGGUGAAAUGCGCAGAUAUCAGGAGGAACACCGGUGGCGAAGGCGGGUCUCUGGGAAGUAACUGACGCUGAGAAGCGAAAGCGUGGGUAGCGAACAGGAUUAGAUACCCUGGUAGUCCACGCCGUAAACGGUGGGUACUAGGUGUGGGUUUCCUUCCACGGGAUCCGUGCCGUAGCUAACGCAUUAAGUACCCCGCCUGGGGAGUACGGCCGCAAGGCUAAAACUCAAAGGAAUUGACGGGGGCCCGCACAAGCGGCGGAGCAUGUGGAUUAAUUCGAUGCAACGCGAAGAACCUUACCUGGGUUUGACAUACACCGGAAACCUGCAGAGAUGUAGGCCCCCUUGUGGUCGGUGUACAGGUGGUGCAUGGCUGUCGUCAGCUCGUGUCGUGAGAUGUUGGGUUAAGUCCCGCAACGAGCGCAACCCUUAUCUUAUGUUGCCAGCGCGUAAUGGCGGGGACUCGUGAGAGACUGCCGGGGUCAACUCGGAGGAAGGUGGGGACGACGUCAAG